rnacentral:rRNA from 1 species
GACGAACGCUGGCGGCGUGCCUAAUACAUGCAAGUCGAACGCAGUGGGGACGGGUGAGUAACACGUGGGUAACCUCCCAUCAGAGGGGAUAACACUUGGAAACAGGUGCUAAACCGAUACUGAUGGAUCUACUCGCGGUGCAUUAGCUAGCUGGUGAGGUAACGGCUCACCAAGGCCACGAUGCAUACGGGACCGGAGAGUGAGAUCGUGCAGACUGAGACGUAGACACAGCCCAGACUCCUGCGUGAGGCAGCAGUUGGGGAUAUUCGGCGAGGGGCGAAAGUCUGACCGAGCAACGGCGCGUGAGUGAAGGAGGUUUUCGGAUUGUAAAACUCUGUUGUUAGAGAAGCGGUAUCUAACCAGAGAGCCACAGCUAACUACGUGCCAGCAGCCGCGGUAUAC